GCUGCUAUGGCUCAGGUGGUAGAGCGUCGCCUUGGUAAGGCGGAGGUCACGGGUUCAAGUCCCGUUAGCAGCU
rnacentral:tRNA from 1 species